AGAAGCUAAACACAAAGGAAACCUAAAGUUGAAAUCCAAAAUCCGUGACAAAAAAAAAAAGAACAAGCUGCAAGAAAAGAAAAAGAAAAUUACAUCUUGUUGACAAUCCUUUGACGAGAAUCAGGUAGAAGUUGAGUCCGCCAAUCCAGUGUCCAUAGCUCCGGCUGCAGCUCCAACUCGGGCGGUCCCUUCACUCCCAAAAUAUGCAUUUCAUCUCAAAUGCAUCUUCGUUAGACAGCUAAAUCUGACACUUCUUUAGGCAGAUAAAAGUUUUUCUUCUCCUCAGAGCAUAAAAAUGAUCAAGGUAGGUACAGGCAACUGAGAAUUUUCAGCGGUGAGAAAGGAACAUUGACGAGAGAGGGGAGACUGAACACUUCCCUCUACACUUUGUAGCCAUAGAGAGCGGGAUUUUCAACAUCAUAACUAAGUAAUCAUGUCAGACAAAUGAUUGGUUAAUGUGAAGGCGCCCAUAUCUCCGGCUGCAGCUCCAGCUGGGGAGGUACCUUCACUCCCCAAAAUAUGCAGUUCAUUUCAAAUCUUCUUCAUUAGACAACUAAAUCUGACACUUCUUUAAGCAGAUAAAAGUUUUUCUUCCCCUCAGAACAUAAAACAAUCAGAAGGAGAAAAAUUUAGAUGAUGUUCAAAGGUGGUGUCAAUGAUGAGACUUGAGAGGCAGAGGGCGGGGCUUGUAAUGUCAAGGUAGGUAUGGAAGUCGGACGACAACUGAGAAUUUUCAGUGGUGAGAAAGGAACAUUGCGAGAGAGGGGAGAGUGAACACUUUCCUGUACACUUUGUAGCCACAGAGAGCAAGCUUUUCCAACAUCAUAACUAAUUCAUUAGGUUUAUACAAAGCGUCCUGUCACACAAAUGAUUUGUCAAUGUGAAAUACAGCACAUGAACUUUCAUUGCUCACCUGGGUCAUGAACAAUCUGACCACUACUUGCAGCAUUGGACGAAUUGGUCAUAGGAUUUUGAGAGCCUGUCUCCAUAGUUAGCAUCUUUAGAGAUAUUUUUCGUAGAUAAUCUGGCUGCAAUAUAAGAUAAAUUUGAGUUAAAUUCAGAAAUGCAUACAACAUGAUAAAAUGACUUGAAACGUAAAUGCACAUUAAUACAAACAGGAAUAAUGUCAACCAGGUGGAAAACAAUUGCAUUAUUCAAACAAAUAGAAGCAGGUUUACACUGCAUACCUGACUUAUAGCAGCAGCAUAGAUCUUUUCCUCAAACCUCAAUGCAAUUUUCUUGAGCUCCUGAACUCCUUCUCCAUUGACAGGAAGAUGCCUCUUUAAGGUCUCGGUUCUAUACAGUCAUAUCAACAAAAAAUCAGCUUAACGGGUUGAUAAGAGCAGAAUCUAGAAAAAACAUUUUUUAACGAUGAAAAUGUUUUGACAUUACACCCUGCGGUGAAAGCCUAAGACCUGUUUUCUCAUGACAAUAUUAGUUAGUAUUAUUAUCCAAUUAACUUGUGCUGCUAUUUGUCAUUUCGACAUAUGUAAGCCACAAUGAGUUAAAGUAGGUUUUCCACUCGGACUAGAUCCUUGAGUGAUUACCAGAAUUGGAAAUAUCAAGGUCAUCAACUUUCAAUUAAUCCAUCCAAUAAUAGGAUUACUCAGUUCGCUAAGAGAAGUGUGAUUUCAUUAAAGGAAAGCCGAAAAACAGGUGUCCAUUAGAUUUGUCAAACUUCUGCCUAAAUGGUUAUUCUCAGAAGCUGAUAAACACAAAGGAAACCUGAAGCCGAAAUCCAAAAUCCUUGACAAAAGAAAAAAGUACAAGUUGCAGAAAAGAAAAGGAAAAUUACAUCUUGUUCACAAUGCUUUGACGAAAAUCAGGUAGAAGUUGAGUCCGCCAAUCAGCAGCGUCCAUAGCUCCGGCUGCAGCUACAGCUUGGGCGGUCCCUUCACUCCCAAAAUAUGCAUUUCAUUUCAAAUGCGUCUUUGUUAGACAGCUAAAUCUGAAACUUCUUUAAGCAGAUAAAAGUUUUCUUCCCCUCCAAGCAUAAAAACGAUCAACGUAGGUACAGAAAUCGGACAGCAACUGAGAAUUUUCAGUUGUGAGAAAGGAACAUUAACGAGAGAGGGGAGACUGAACACUUUCCUCUACACUUUGUAGCCAUAGAGAGCAGGUUUUUCCAACAUCAUAACUAAGUAAUCAUGUCAGACAAAGGAUUUGUUAAUGUGAAAUACAGCACAGGAACUUUCAUUCCUCACCUGGGUCAUGGGCAUUCUGACCACUACUUGUAGCAUUGCUCGAAUUGGUCAUAGGAUUUUUAAAUUUUGUCUCCAUAGUCAGCAUCUUUAGAGAUAUUUUUUGUAGAUAAUCUUG
rnacentral:lncRNA from 1 species